AGGGUUUGAUCAUGGCUCAGGACGUACGCUGGCGGCGUGCUUAACACAUGCAAGUCGAACGGAAAGGCCUCUUCGGAGGUACUCGAGUGGCGAACGGGUGAGUAACACGUGGGUGAUCUGCCCUGCACUCUGGGAUAAGCCUGGGAAACUGGGUCUAAUACCGGAUAGGACCAUGCUUUAGUGUGUGUGGUGGAAAGUUUUUUCGGUGUAGGAUGAGCCCGCGGCCUAUCAGCUUGUUGGUGGGGUAAUGGCCUACCAAGGCGGCGACGGGUAGCCGGACUGAGAGGUUGGUCGGCCACAUUGGGACUGAGAUACGGCCCAGACUCCUACGGGAGGCAGCAGUGGGGAAUAUUGCACAAUGGGCGCAAGCCUGAUGCAGCGACGCCGCGUGGGGGAUGACGGCCUUCGGGUUGUAAACUCCUUUCGCCAGGGACGAAGCGUUUUGUGACGGUACCUGGAGAAGAAGCACCGGCUAACUACGUGCCAGCAGCCGCGGUAAUACG
rnacentral:rRNA from 1 species